rnacentral:rRNA from 1 species
UACAUGGGGUGCAAACGUUGCUCGGAAUUAUUGGGCGUAAAGCGCACGUAGGCGGUUCGUUAAGUCGGAUGUGAAAGCCCUCGGCUCAACUGAGGAAGUGCACCCGAAACUGGCGAGCUUGAGUACGAAAGAGGAUCGCGGAAAUUCCCGGUGUAGAGGUGAAAUUCGUAGAUAUUCGCAAGAACACCAGUGGCGAAGGCGGCUCACUGGCCCGGUACUGACGCUGAGGUGCGAAAGCG